CAUCGGUCGUAGCAUGACGGAGCAUGCCGCGUGAGGGAGGAAUGUCUGUGGAUUGUAAACCUCUUUUCUCUGGGAAGAAGAUCUGACGGUUGCCUAGGAAUCAGCCUCCGCUAACUCCGUGCCCGCCGCCGCGGUUAGACCGAAGAUGCCAGCGUUUUCCGGAAUUAUUGGGCGUAAAGCGUCCGUAGGCGGUUAAUUAAGUCCGUUGUUAAAGACUGCAGCUCAACUGUGGGAGAGCAACUGAAACUGGUUGACUAGAGUAUGGUAGGGGUAGAGGGAAUUCCUAGUGUAACGGUGAAAUGCGUAAAUUUUAGGAAGAACACCCGUGGCGAAAGCGCUCUACUGGGCCAAGACUGACCCUGAUGGACCAAAGCUAGGGGAGCGAAAGGGAUUAGAUACCCCCCGGUAAUCCA
rnacentral:rRNA from 1 species